rnacentral:rRNA from 1 species
AGAUGGCGCCGGCGCACGGGUGAGUAACACGUAUCCAACCUGCCGAUAACUCGGGGAUAGCCUUUCGAAAGAAAGAUUAAUACCCGAUGGUAUAAUCAGACCGCAUGGUUUGAUUAUUAAAGAAUUUCGGUUAUCGAUGGGGAUGCGUUCCAUUAGGCAGUUGGUGAGGUAACGGCUCACCAAACCUUCGAUGGAUAGGGGUUCUGAGAGGAAGGUCCCCCACAUUGGAACUGAGACACGGUCCAA